UGGGGAAUUUUGGACAAUGGGCGAAAGCCUGAUCCAGCAAUGCCGCGUGUGUGAAGAAGGCCUUCGGGUUGUAAAGCACUUUUGUCCGGAAAGAAAUCCUUGGCUCUAAUACAGUCGGGGGAUGACGGUACCAGAAGAAUAAGCACCGGCUAACUACGUGCCAGCAGCCGCGGUAAUACGUAGGGCGCAAGCGUUAAUCGGAAUUACUGGGCGUAAAGCGUGCGCAGGGCGGUUUGCUAAGACCGAUGUGAAAUCCCCGGGCUCAACCUGGGAACUGCAUUGGUGACUGGCAGGCUAGAGUAUGGCAGAGGGGGGUAGAAUUCCACGUGUAGCAGUGAAAUGCGUAGAGAUGUGGAGGAAUACCGAUGGCGAAGGCAGCCCCCUGGGCCAAUACUGACGCUCAUGCACGAAAGCGUGGGGAGCAAACAGGAUUAGAUACCCUGGUAGUCCACGCCCUAAACGAUGUCAACUAGUUGUUGGGGGAUUCAUUUUCCUUAGUAACGUAGCUAACGCGUGAAGUUGACCGCCUGGGGAGUACGGUCGCAAG
rnacentral:rRNA from 1 species